GCACCUGUGGGAGGUCCCUGAUGGAAGCUAUGGUAGGUGGGCAGCAGGUAGACUGCCUGCAGAGCGGUUUGCCAAUUGAUCUCUCUAAACCGGAGGAAAGGCCAGAGGGCUGGAAAGGACUGAAGGCAGGAGAGCAGCAGCGGGAGUUGCCUGCUGGCUUCAAAGCUGAAGGCAAGCGCCAGGGAAGGUUGAAGGCAGGCAAUCAGCGGAGGGGCUGACGUCUGCACGUUGGAGAGCUGGAAGUAGAAGGGGCUGAGGGACAGGGGAGCAAUGGAAGAGCCUACCUGCUGGCCUUUCUGAGAUGAGAGGUUAAUGGAACCAGGAAUUGGUGGAUGCUCCCCUGAUGAAGAGGAACUCCCAGCAGAGAAGCUGAGGGUGGGUAGGCUCCUAUUGGGAAGAAUGGAGUGGCACUCCUGCUGGAAGGACUGGGAUAGCCAUGCUAGCAGGACAAGAGAGGACUGAAGAAGAGCCUGGUGUGGUGGAAGAUGCUGGACUAUGUUUUGCACUGAUUCUGUGAAUUCCCUAUGGCUACAACACAAAAGCUGAAGAUCUGUCCAUGUUGGUGAACCUUAGAGAUUUUUUUUUUUGAGACCUGCUUUGUCUGUCUACACAGUCCGCAGCCAGAUCCAUGAGACAAUGGAGGCGGCUUGUUACCACCCUCCCUGCCGCAAUGCAGGACCACAGACUGGCCUCUCCUCUAGUAGCAGGAAGGAAAAAGGACAGACUGGUGGAUGGGGGAGAAAAGCAGCUCCACUGCCUUCUUCCCACAGACGCUGGGAAAUCCCCUCCGUGGCACAGCAUUGGGCACUGCGGAGGCGAGACGCCAGCGUGCAGUUGCUCUCGAGACCAUGCUUCUCUUGGGUUCCCAGCAGUUACUUCUCCUCUGUGGCUACAAACUCCUGGAGGAACGGGUUGGGUGCAACCACUGCCAAAGAGAGUAUGGCUGCACAGCUUCUGAAGGAGCCAUGCCCCAAGGAUAGUCAAAUAACUUUACCUCUUCCCCAGUGGAACAACAUGGGGGAGACUAUGAGCAGGUGACCCCAGGAUCUGAGUUUUUAGCCUGAAUCUCAUGCAGCAUAGAGUAUCUUGCAAGGAGAAAAAUGAUGUGAUCCAGUGACUGGCUGAAACUGACUCAGUGUUGCUAUUUAGGUCAAGGUCAUAUUGUCUUAUCUUACUAAGUGAUUUGAAGAAGCAGUAACAUACUACAGAAGGGGGGGACAGUUUUCAAAAGAUGCUGCUGAUUGCUAUAAUAAUAUUUAGCCCUGUUCUCCUCAAGGUGCUUUAAAAAUACUAAUUAAUCCUCUUAACCAUUUAAAGUAGGUAAGAAUUUAUCCUUCCCAUCUCAAAUUUACAGAGGAAAAAGUUGGCCCUGAGAGAUUACAUGACAUACCCCAAA